AACGUAGGAGACAAACGUUAUCCGGAGUUACUGGGCGUAAAGGGCGCGUAGGCGGCUUUGCAAGUGGCGGGUGAAAUCCCUCGGCUUAACCGAGGAACUGCCUGCCAGACUGUGAGGCUUGAGACCGGGAGAGGUGAGUGGAAUUCCCAGUGUAGCGGUGAAAUGCGUAGAUAUUGGGAGGAACACCAGUGGCGAAGGCGGCUCACUGGACCGGAACUGACGCUGAGGCGCGAAAGCGUGGGGAGCAAACAGG
rnacentral:rRNA from 1 species